rnacentral:rRNA from 1 species
AACUAACGCUGGCGGCGUGCCUAACACAUGCAAGUCGAACGAGAAAGUUGGCUUCGGCCGAUGAGUAAAGUGGCGCACGGGUGAGUAACGCGUGGAUAAUCUGCCCUUUAGUUUGGAAUAACGUACCGAAAGGUGCGCUAAUACCGGAUAAUACUGAAUGACUACUGUCGUUUAGUCAAAGAAGGCUUCUGUUUACAUGCUUUUGCUGAAGGAUGAGUCCGCGUACCAUUAGCUAGUUGGUAGGGUAAUGGCCUACCAAGGCGACGAUGGUUAGCUGGUCUGAGAGGAUGAUCAGCCACACUGGAACUGAGACACGGUCCAGACUCCUACGGGAGGCAGCAGUGGGGAAUAUUGCGCAAUGGGGGAAACCCUGACGCAGCAACGCCGCGUGGAGGAAGAAGGUCUUCGGAUUGUAAACUCCUGUCUUCUGGGACGAAGUAUGACGGUACCAGAGGAGGAAGCCACGGCUAACUACGUGCCAGCAGCCGCGGUAAACUGUAGUCGUCG